UCAUGUCCAGUUCUGUAAACAAAUUCUCAACUGCACCAGAAGGCCUGACAGUUAAGAGAACCCAGUGAAGAAAUCUUCUGCAGGGAGAGAAAAGAACCCUUUUGAAUGUGAUCAAUCACGCUGAUUUAUUUGGAUGAUUUCUCUUCUGGAUUUCCUUAAACCAGGGAAAACCCAGGGACAGCAAUUGCUAUAAUUGAUGCAAACGAUCCCAGCCACACUCCCUGAUCCUGGUUCUGAAACUCAGAGAUGCAGCUGACCAGACUGAUGUGGCCAGCCUCACUCUGAAGGAUCCUGCAGCAGACAAAUUGCUGGAAUGUGUUCAGACGGAAUCCAGCUGCUACAACCGUCACACAAACUUCCUGAAAUAGAGGACAAAAGGUGCAACAGUGACCCGUGACGCAGUAGGAAGGGCUGUUUUCCAUGCCCAGUGAGGCCUGCUCAGCUCCCAUGAGGCCUUUAUGGAUGGCCUGCCUCCCAGCUGGUACCUGGUCCCGUCACAGUCCCAGGACUCUAGACCUCGAGGCAGCCAGAAAGUGCUGUGGAAGCUGGGGGGUGAGUUCUGAAGUGCGUACACAACUGGAACCAGAGCAGCCACUGACUGCCUUGGGCCAGCAGCUUCUGGAGCCCAAACUUGGACCUCUGCAUCCCUCCUGGGGCCCCAGCUCUAAGUACUGGGGUACGGUGCUGAAUGGGGCGGGGAGGCUGUCAGCUUUCCUAGCUGCCUCUGUGUGCUGUGCUCUCUCCAGGGCCCAGUUCUCCAGGAGCAGGAGCAGGUAUGCUGAGGACUCCAUGAGAGCCAGCCUUCUGAAUAGCAGCAAGUUUGUGGGGGCAUCUGGGGACAGGGUCUGGGACAGCCCAGUCCAGCCCAGGCAGGGGAGACGGCAACAGCAGCAACUCUGCUAGAAGUGACAUGCAGAUGUUGGCUGAAAGCCAUCUACCCUCCCUCCUUCCUUUUCUUUCAUCUUCCCUUUCUUUCCCGCUCUCCCUCCUGUCUUCUCUACUCCACUUUUCUCCUUUCUUCCACAGUGCUAUGGCUGCCUACGUGAUGCCAAGCACCAUGCAGUAUUAGCAGCCACAGGCUGCUUACCCGGAAAACUGGACUUCUGUGCUCACAGGCUUUAAGAGAGAUGGGGACAGCCUGGACUGCAUGCAGAGGGAGCCACUAGGGCUGCUGGGGAGGUUCGAGACACGUCACAGGGGUUACCUGAAGGACUGGGGCUAUAGCUUGGAGGAGACUCUGAAAACUGUUAUCAGAUAUUCGAAGAACUGUCCAUUGAAAGAAGAACAAAAAAAAUUUUUUCCCAGCCAGGCAUGGUGGCUCACAACUGUAAUCACAGAACUUUGGGAGGCUGAGGCGGGCAGAUCAACUUGAGGCCAGGAGUUCGAGACCAGGCUGGCCAACAUGGCGAAACCCCAUCUCUACUGAAAAUACAACAAAUCAGCUGGGUGGGAUGGUGUGUGCCUGUAGUCCCAGCUUGGGAGGCUGAGGCCCAAGAAUUGCUUGAGCCAGAGAGGUGGAGGUUGCAGUGAGCUGACAGCAUGCCACUGCACUCCAGCCUGGGUGACAGAGCCAGACCCUGUCUCAAAAAAAAAAAUUUGUUUUCUUUUUUUCUGUGAAACCCAAAAGGAACAAUUAGGUAGAGAGUUUCAGCUCUGUAUCUGAGUGUCCUUUCAUAAUCUGAAUUGUCCCAGGGUGGAAGAGGCUUCCCUGGAAGGUGAGUUCCUUGUCACCAAAGACCCUCAAGGACAGCAGGGACCACUCGGUGGCCAGAAUGCUGGAGAGGGGAAUUCAAACUUUUGCUGCAGUGGGAGUGCGUCAGACUCGAUGACUGUCAGACUCUGGUCUUCCUUCGAUCUUUGAGCUGAGAGUGGAAGAAGAUGAAGUGUGACUCAGCUAUUCAACCACGCCACAACCCCAGGCAUCUUUAGUUUUUGUUCUGAUUUUUAUCUUCAGUAGCUGACUGACUGGGCAUGAGUAAUUCCAACUCCCCGGGCCGGAUGCACUUCACAGGCAUGUUUCAGAAUAAAAUAGAACCUAUGGCUCCAGCCCACCUUGACUGUGGUCACCAAAGAUGCUUACCCUGACCCUGGGGUAAGAAAUGAGCCCUUGGAGGGUCCUGGGUGUGCCCAGCCCCCACUGAUGUGACUGGCAGCCACCACCACACUCUGCAGCCCCAGGCAGCGAAGCCUCCCCCUCCAAAGUUCUAGAGGGUUUUAAAAAAUGUUUAAAGACAUUUACAGCAAAACAAAAUCAAUUAUCAAGUUUUGAGUCACUUCUCUUGCAAAUAGAAACUUUUCUGUAAGAACUGCUUCUACUAGGCUGGGUGUGGUGGCUCAUGCCUGUAAUCCCAGCACUUUAGGAGGCUGAGGUGGGCAGAUCAUGAAGUCAGGAGUUCAAGACCAGCCUGGCCAACAUAGUGAAAUCCUGUGUCUGCUAAAAAUAUAAAAAAUUAGCUGGUCGUGGUGGCGUGCGCUUAUAGUCCCAUCUACUCUGGAGGCUGAGGCAGGAGAAUCGCUUGAACCCGGAGGCGGAGGUUGCAGUGGGCCGAGAUUGCACCAUUGCACUCCAGCCUGGGCGACAGUGUGAGACUCUGUCUCCAAAAAAAAAACAAGAACAAGAAACAAAAGAACCGCUUCUACUGGGAAAGAAAACCAGAGAGAAAACCAUUUAUAGAUUAUCUCAGAUUUACAAGUGAGAACCACAGGCCUGACCCCAGUUCACCUAUGUCAGGGCUAAGUCUACACAGUCAACAGCCUCAGGAUGCAGGGAUGAGUCAGUGUGAAACAAAGACUCAUCCCCCAUCUAACAGAGCCCUUUCCCUGCUGUGCUCAGCCUGCACGGAAUCUGCUUCUAGACAACCCAGACAGCCAGAAGCCAAUGCAUCUGACUGAGAGGAGUGGAUAAUAACUUCCCUUUUUAAAAACUUCCUUAUUGGCUGCGCACAGUGGCUCACGCCUGUAAUCCCAGCACUUCAGGAGGUCGAGAUCGGCGGAUAGACUUGAGGUUGGGAGUUUGAGACCAUCCUGGCCAACAUGGCGAAACCCCAUCUCUGCUAAAAAUACAAAAAUUAGCUGAGUGUGGUGGUGCACGCCUGUAGUCCCGGCUACUUGGGGGUGCUGAGGCACGAAAAUCACUUGAGCCUGGGAGGCAGAGGUUGCAGUGAGCCUAGAAGACAGAGCAAGACUCCAUCUCAAAACAAAAACCAAAUAAACAAAACACUUUUCUUAUUGAGGGGUAGCACAUCUGCCACCAAGCAUGCUUCUGAUGGUCCCUCUAGAAGUCUCUUCCCCGGUAUCUGGAUUUGAGUGGGGUGACAAAAAGGCAGAACAUGACUGGAGCCUAUCCUAUGGCUUCUGUCCCCUAAGUCCCCAGAGCUCCUCUGGUGUCUGUCCUCUCUGAAGCUUGGUUCUUCAGCUUUUCCAUUAGGACUGUGAGUUCUCUCACAUCUGGAGGUCGCUUCUGUUGUUUACAAUCAAAGAACCUUGACAAAGAGAAAGUGCCUACUUGGUCUCCUUAGCUCCAGGGCCAGUGUGUGGCCUGACACACAGUCAAGUUCAAAAAUGUUUAACUAAGUUGAACUGUGAUGACUCCCCCCCCUUUCAGUCUGGGGAUCAGAGACAGAGUUGCCUGGGUGUCCUUGAUGGAAGAAGCUCUUCCUGAUC
ensembl:lincRNA